AGAACGAACGCUGGCGGCAUGCCUAACACAUGCAAGUCGAACGAGACCUUCGGGUCUAGUGGCGCACGGGUGCGUAACGCGUGGGAACCUGCCUUAGGUUCGGAAUAACUCAGAGAAAUUUGAGCUAAUACCGGAUGAUGUCUUCGGACCAAAGAUUUAUCGCCUGAGGAUGAGCCCGCGUAGGAUUAGCUUGUUGGUGAGGUAAAAGCUCACCAAGGCGACGAUCCUUAGCUGGUCUGAGAGGAUGAUCAGCCACACUGGGACUGAGACACGGCCCAGACUCCUACGGGAGGCAGCAGUGGGGAAUAUUGGACAAUGGGCGAAAGCCUGAUCCAGCAAUGCCGCGUGAGUGAUGAAGGCCUUAGGGUUGUAAAGCUCUUUUACCCGGGAUGAUAAUGACAGUACCGGGAGAAUAAGCUCCGGCUAACUCCGUGCCAGCAGCCGC
rnacentral:rRNA from 1 species